rnacentral:rRNA from 1 species
GACGGAGGAUGCAAGCGUUAUCCGGAAUUAUUGGGCGUAAAGCGUCCGCAGGUGGCUGUUCAAGUCUGCUGUCAAAGCGCAGAGCUUAACUCUGUACAGGCGGUGGAAGCUGAAGAGCUAGAGUAUGGUAGGGGUAGAGGGAAUUCCCGGUGUAGCGGUGAAAUGCGUAGAUAUCGGGAAGAACACCAGUGGCGAAAGCGCUCUACUGGGCCAUAACUGACACUGAGGGACGAAAGCUAGGGGAGCGAAAGGG